GAUGAAGAACGUAGCGAAAUGCGAUAAUUAAUGUGAAUUGCAGAAUUCAGUGAAUCAUCGAAUCUUUGAACGCACAUUGCGCCCCCCAGUAUUCUGGCGGGCAUGCCUGUUCGAGCGUCAUUUCAACCAUCAAGCCCUGCUUGUGUUGGGGUCCUGCGGCUGCCCGCAGGCCCUGAAAACCAGUGGCGGGCUCGCUAGUCACACCGAGCGCAGUAGCACAUCUCGCUCAGGGCGUGCGGCGGGCUCCAGCCGUUAAAGCACCCACCUUUCGCAAGGUUGACCUCGGAUCAGGUAGGAAUACCCGCUGAACUUAAGCAUAUCAAUAAGCGGAGGA
rnacentral:misc_RNA from 1 species